rnacentral:rRNA from 1 species
AACGAACGUUCGCGGCGCGCUUAACACAUGCAAGUCGCACGAGAAAGGGCUUCGGCCCCGGUACAGUGGCGCACGGGUGAGUAACACGUAGGUAAUUUGCCUCCGAGUGGUGGAUAACCUUCCGAAAGGAGGGCUAAUACAGCAUGAGACCACGCGUCCGAAAGGGCAUGAGGUCAAAGCGGGCCUCUUUACAAAAGCUCGCGCUUGGAGAUGAGCCUGCGGCCCAUCAGCUAGUUGGUAGGGUAAUGGCCUACCAAGGCGAAGACGGGUAGCUGGUCUGAGAGGAUGAUCAGCCACACUGGAACUGAGACACGGUCCAGACUCCUACGGGAGGCAGCAGUGGGGAAUCUUGCGCAAUGGGCGAAAGCCUGACGCAGCGACGCCGCGUGGGUGAUGAAGGCC